rnacentral:lncRNA from 1 species
UUGGUAUAAAUAGAGGGGUGAAAUUCAAGCUCCAUUAUUUUCAGUAUUUAUUUUGGUGUAAGUCAAAAAUAUAGUGUAACCUAAGUUGCGUUAGAUCUUCACCUACUCUUCGAUUUUUUUCUCUAAAGUGCCGAACUCCGCUUCUACCACAUUCAACGUUCUCUAAAAAAUUUAUUAAAUAGUAAAACCUAAACUCCAAUUUUUUUUUUUAUUAUAAUGGGUUAGAAUUACCUUAUUUAUAAUAAAUUAUUAUUACCUUUAAAUAAUAAUAAAAAUUUUAAUUAUUUAAUAGGUUAAAUUUUAUAGCGGUUAGUUUACCACUAUAUUGAGGAGAUAACGGGUUCCAUUUAUUUAAAUCAAAACAAACAAUGAAACUCAAAAAACUAAUUUCACCAGCACCAAAUUACACCAAAACAAACAGAAAAAAUAAUUGAAUUUAAUUUUCAGAUUGUACGAGUUACAUAAAAAUAAACAACAAAAAAAUAAUCACACUUCAAGAAAAUUCAAAUACCACUGUACUUGAGUUACGUUGAAUUUACAAAUUCGUCAAUUCAAACGCUACUGCACUUGAGUUGCAUGUAGAAAUUAACGAUAUGAUUGACAAUUCAAAAUA